GUUUUUUAAUUAAAAACUAGAAUGAAAGGUUAUACACUCAAAUUUCUUUAUUAAUUUUUAAUAAAUAAUUUAUAUUAAAUAUAAAAAUAUAUUUAUGAAAAAAAAAGACGACAAGACCCUAUUAAAUUUUACUUAUAGUUUAGCUGGGGAAGCUUUUCAAUUAAAAUUUUUUAAAAUCUUAAAAUAAAUAUCUAAUUUAAAUUAAAAUUUAAAUAAAUUACUAUAGGGAUAACAGCAUUAUAUUUUUUAAAAGUUCAUAUUAAAAAAAAUGAUUGUGACCUCGAUGUUGAAUUAUAUUUUCUAUAUUUAAUGCAAUAAUUAUAAAAGUAGAUCUGUUCGAUCUUUAAAAUAUUACAUGAUUUGAGUUCAAACCGGUGUAAACCAGGUUGGUUUCUAUCUUUUUAUAUAUUUUUCCAGUACGAAAGGACAAAAAAAUUUUUAUUUUAAUAAAUUAGCAAAUAUAAUGCAUUAGAUUUAGAAUCUAAAUAUAUUUAA
rnacentral:rRNA from 1 species